UACGAAGGGGGCUAGCGUUGCUCGGAAUCACUGGGCGUAAAGGGCGCGUAGGCGGCCGUUUAAGUCGGGGGUGAAAGCCUGUGGCUCAACCACAGAAUUGCCUUCGAUACUGGACGGCUUGAGUAUGGUAGAGGUUGGUGGAACUGCGAGUGUAGAGGUGAAAUUCGUAGAUAUUCGCAAGAACACCGGUGGCGAAGGCGGCCAACUGGACCAUUACUGACGCUGAGGCGCGAAAGCGUGGGGAGCAAACAGG
rnacentral:rRNA from 1 species